GUGCUCUCUUGGGCAGCGCAUAUACUAAAGUCGGAGCAAUAAAGAAGAUCAGCAUGGCCCCUGUGCAAGGAUGACGUGCAAAUUCAUGAAGCGUUCCAUAUUUAA